rnacentral:rRNA from 1 species
GCCUAACACAUGCAAGUCGAACGGAGAACCCGCCCUCGGGCGGUUAUGAAGUGGCGAACGGGUGAGUAACACCGUGACCAACCUGCCCCGCGCUCAGGGACAGCCUCGGGAAACCGGGAUUAAUACCUGAUGCGCCCCCGCCCCCGCAUGGGGGAGGGGGGAAAGCCCAGGCGGCGCGGGAUGGGGUCGCGGCCCAUCAGGUAGACGGCCGGGUAGAGGCCGGCCGUGCCGACGACGGGUAGCCGGGUUGAGAGACCGACCGGCCACAUUGGGACUGAGAUACGGCCCAGACUCCUACGGGAGGCAGCAGUGGGGAAUAUUGCGCAAUGGGGGCAACCCUGACGCAGCAACGCCGCGUGCGGGACGACGGCCCUCGGGUUGUAAACCGCUUUCAGCAGGGAAGACAUCGACGGUACCUGCAGAAGAAGCCCCGGCUAACUACGUGCCAGCAGCCGC